AAUCGCGGAUCAGCACGCCGCGGUGAAUACGUUCCCGGGCCUUGUACACACCGCCCGUCACACCAUGGGAGUCUGCAAUGCCCAAAGCCGGUGGCCUAACCUUCGGGAAGGAGCCGUCUAAGGCAGGGCAGAUGACUGGGGUGAAGUCGUAACAAGGUAGCCGUAGGAGAACCUGCGGCUGGAUCACCUCCUUUCUAAGGAA
rnacentral:rRNA from 1 species